UAUGGGGCUUCCUUGACCUUCUGCCUUGGGGGAGAGGAGCCUUAGGAAGUAAGGAGACCUUAAAAGGAAGUAAGGAGACCUUACAAGGAAGUAAGGAGAUCUUACAAGUGUGUCUGCAGGGAAGGAAGAAAACUUGACCAGAAGACAGAGAAAACAGGGUCAUCGAUCAUCUGAAGAUCAGCUUUGCUUUCUGCUGGCUUUACUUAAAUUGGAACAGCUUUACUCAUGGUGACCCAACCAAGCUUCAAUGUAGGCCAGGCUGGCCUGUGCCUCCUGUGUGUUGGGAGUAAAGGACUGAUUCUUGAUAAACUGAAGAGGAAGCCGAAGGUGAGAGAGGAGAAUGCUCGAAGAAUGUUUGUCCAGAACAGAUGAAGAACAAAUAAUUCUAACGUUAAUG
rnacentral:lncRNA from 1 species